GUGCUUGUUUCAGCACCACAUAUAUUAAAGUUGGAACAAUACCAAGAUUAGCAUGGUCCAUGCACAAGGAUUACAUGCAAAUUUGUGAAGCAUUCCAUAUGAAA